ACUUCAGGGCGGGGUGGAAUUCCCCACCGGCGGUGAUGUAUCAAGAGAAGAUACGAGCCCGCGAGCGAAGAGCUGAACCGGUGUGAAUCCGGUGCCGACGGUAGAGUCCGGAUGGAAGGAGU
rnacentral:ncRNA from 1 species